CAAAGAAGAUGGCUGCCAUGUGAGAGUCAAAGAGAGCUGCUGGUGCAGCAUUUGCAGCCUCUUGACAUUGUCAAAGAAGGAGGCUACAAUGGUGGGUUGUUGGUGGCAGCCAACAACCAUUGUCUAAUGUCAAAGUUUGGUAAGUUUGGCAACCACCAUUGUUGACAAAGGAGCAAGAGGAGCUGUCAUUGAAGCCUAUAAAUAGACACCAAGAGUGCAGCACAAAAUGAGAGAGAGAGUCUUGUAGUAGAGCUACAAAAGAGAGAAAGAAAGAGAAGGGCUGCCACCAGCAGCCCUGCUGCCAUAUGCAGCUGCUGCCCUAUGUAGCAAUGAGAGAUGGGAGUUGAGUGGAUGUGAUCCUCCUCCGUGUGUUGUAUUCUUUCUCUAUCUCUAAUAAUAUUGAUCUCUCCCGUGGAUGUAGGCAAUUAGCCGAACCACGUUAAAUAUUGUGUCAGUGUGCUUAGCCUCUUUUGAGUAAUGAUCAUGAACACCACCGUUCCGCAUGGGGAGCAGAAAUCCCCAACAAUUGGUAUCAGAGCCUAUGGUUUAAAGUGGUGUUUGAUUUUUGCUCAAAAAUGAAAGUUGUCAAAAUUAUGUUUUGACCAUACCACUGUGUAGAGGAGGAAGAGACGAAGCCACUGGUGAAAACGGCGUAAAAUUCUGACGUGGGACAUGCCCGCACGCGCCAACACGCGCCGGAGAGGAGGCUGCCCACGCGCACCAACGCGCCACACGCGAGCCACGCGUCUUCUUCGCCCGAAUGGCAGACCCGACCCGAAUACCAGAUGACUCGACCCACAAGACUGACCCGGAUAAGGAUGACGUCAGCAUGGCAUAAUUGUGAUGUCAGCAUGCACAGUUGGCAUGCCAUGUCAGCGACCAGUCAGCUGACACGUCAGCAUAGUGGGACCCACCAGCCACGUCAUCAGUCAUGAGCCAAGCUGAGUUGGAGCCGAGCCGAGUUGGAGCCGAACCGCGAGCCGAGGGAUAGGAUCCAGUGUAGCUGAUCCUACGUGCAACCGGAUUUGAGAUUGAAUCUGAGCCGCUCAUCAGGCCAGAAUUAUUUUGAUCAAAUCUUAGCCGUCUGAAAUGCGAUUUGGAUGAUUUCGGACUUGUUUCCAGCUAAUUUGAUUGUUCCGGAUGCAAUGGUACGGUCCGAUCGUUGAGAUUGUGACUAGAAAUGGUGGUGGUGAAUUAACAAAAGGAGAUUGCCCGAUCAGGAGGCAUCUGAAGGUCAUUAUGGUGGUCGAUGGUGAUGAUGAAGAAGAAGGUGCACAUGUUUACCCAAUUACAUGUGUUGAACUGCUAAAUGAGGAGAUUUUUUAUUUGCCGAAUGAAGGCAAAAUUGGGAUACUCUGGACACCCGAUCAAGUGGACGAUUUGAGGUGAAGAGUUGAAAUUGAUGAAGACCAAUCUUGACGAAUCUAAGCACUGGUAGUCUCGCCAGAUGUUGAGAAAUCAGGUAUAAAACCAGGAUACCCAGAUCACUUGUAAAGGAAAGUCGCAACAAAGCUAGCAAAUGGUUGUAUAUACGGAAAGACAGUACGAUGGAUAAAUAUGGCGUAAGAAGUUCUGUCUAGGAGAUUGGGUUUUAAGCGGGACCAGUGUGACCCCUCCAAUCUUUCCUGGGAACUUGCUUAGUUGAAGGAAUAUCCAUACGGUACUAUUUUCAUAUAUAUAGCAGUCUGUAAUGAAACGGUUGAAGACUAGCAGGAUGACGACACAAGAGAACAGUUGGGUUCCGUAUGUUCAAGGAUCUGAUGAAGUGGUGAUUUCUCCAAAGAAGUUAGCUUCGGUGACUGUGAUUUCUCAAGGGAGAAUUGAUGAAGACCCUGAUAAUGGAAGAGAAAUACAACAAGGAGAUAAAGAUUGGCACCCUAUUUUGACUUGAACAGGUGUUGUGACAGGAUGAGCUGCUGUCAAACAUAAGCAAGGAAUAGGGAGAAAUCUGGAGAACAGAAAUUGCACGAGGGCACACGGAGAUUGUGCAAGAGUACCCGUGAUCUAACGAGGUACUGUAAUGAGACAACAGGUGCAAGGAGAAGAAGUGUUCCCAGAUGAAGCUCAGAGCAGAGACUAUGUGUGAAGGUUGUACAACAGGAAGUCUCUUAUGCUCUUGAUGAAGACAACAAGCGAAGACCUUUCCAAUACAUACAAGGAUGGAAAGAGAGCUGUUGCAGAGGCACCUAAUUGAGGGGGUGCAACGCCUGUGAUAAAAGGCGACCGCCUAUGAUGAAAGGCAAAGACACCAAAGAGAGUUGGUGUAGGUGGAGCUGUCAAGCAGAAAGGCACAGAAGCUCCAAACAUAGAAAUCGAGGUGGAGGAUUGCGAGGAGUAUACCGCAAGUUUCUCUUUCUAUGUAAUUAGUGGCAGUUAUCUCUCCCAUAGUCCACAUGGUGGUAGAGAAUUUUGGAGCCACUUUGAUACAUCCCAGCUGAAGGAGGAUGUGACCGCCUAUGAAAGCCGAAGACACCUUAGAGAAGGUGUGAGGGCCAUGAAAGGAGCCCAGUUCAGAACGCCUCAAAGCCAAUGUGAUGGCUAGAUAUGAGUGGACAGGUGUAUAGCCAAUGAAAUGGUUAUGAUGAGUUUGGAUACAAAUGCAGGAUUGACUUUCAUGCCCCUAGGCUAAAGAUCAAUGAGCUAGAUAACAUUUGCCUUGGACAAUAAGUGGAUGACUUGUGGAGCAUUAAGACGCGACUGCUAGGAAUGAGCAGAGGACAUGCGCAGGUUCCGGGAACAAGUUGACUCUUGUCAAGGUGGUAAGCUCGGUAAUGGCAUUGUAAUACUCAGAGUAUGAAGACAGAUAUGGAUCAACCUUUAAUGGGUUGCCCCCAUGGUUAAAGGUGGAGAGCUACCUGGACUCUUGGAACUAAGAGCGAGAGACUCACGAAGAAGUAAGGCGUGGUUCCUAGAAUAGAACAGAGGGCAGACGUAACUCCGGGAUGAGUAGACUCUUGGAAGAGUGGUGAGCUCGUGAUCACAUUGAAAUACUCAAAUAAUGACUGUCGCACUCGGAAAUAGAUAUUUCCAUUUGAGGGGGUGUUGUAAGCCUUGAUGUGAGGCUUGAUAAAUCAUUCCGGAUUGAGCAUGGUUAAUACACUCGAAGGGGAAUGUUGUCCCAAAGACAAGCGUUAACACUCUUUAGAUGUGAUGUGACAGACCAUCUGGUUGCAGUGAUCCUUUUGUGUGAGAAAAGGUGUGCUUUGGUGACUCUGGUGAUUGAAAGGUUUGGCGAGUACCUGUAAACUUGGCCAAGGAUGUUCUCAGAAUGGUAAGCUUGGAAGAGCUGCAGGAUGCAAGCGUGUGCUGAAGAAGCAAGAAGACAAUUGCCCACAUAAAUGGCAAAGGGGGUGAUUGUUGGAAUAUUGCCAAUUAUGUGGCUGCCAUUGUCAAAGCAGAUGGCUGCCAUUGUCAAAGAAGAUGGCUGCCAUGUGAGAGUCAAAGAGAGCUGCUGGUGCAGCAUUUGCAGCCUCUUGACAUUGUCAAAGAAGGAGGCUACAAUGGUGGGUUGUUGGUGGCAGCCAACAACCAUUGUCUAAUGUCAAAGUUUGGUAAGUUUGGCAACCACCAUUGUUGACAAAGGAGCAAGAGGAGCUGUCAUUGAAGCCUAUAAAUAGACACCAAGAGUGCAGCACAAAAUGAGAGAGAGAGUCUUGUAGUAGAGCUACAAAAGAGAGAAAGAAAGAGAAGGGCUGCCACCAGCAGCCCUGCUGCCAUAUGCAGCUGCUGCCCUAUGUAGCAAUGAGAGAUGGGAGUUGAGUGGAUGUGAUCCUCCUCCGUGUGUUGUAUUCUUUCUCUAUCUCUAAUAAUAUUGAUCUCUCCCGUGGAUGUAGGCAAUUAGCCAAACCACGUUAAAUAUUGUGUCAGUGUGCUUAGCCUCUUUUGAGUAAUGAUCAUGAACACCACCGUUCCGCAUGGGGAGCAGAAAUCCCCAACAAAUAGAACAAGAAACUGAACGUAGCUUAUCAACUCAAAGCCUAAGUACAGCAUGACCCAUCAUCUUCGACAGGAGGGAUUAAUUCAUAUACACAGGGAAGCUAAACAUUUGAAAACCGAACCUAAGACAGACCCCGUUGCUCGCCUCUCCUUUUUCUAAUUUAUGACGCUGCCAUGGUUGGUUUUAUACAAAAAUGAAAGCCGAAAGAGCAUGCCUUUAUAUCAUGUAUAUCAAAGACACCAAAGCAGAAGCAACAAAUCAAAUGGCCAGCUAUCUCUCUUUCAAAGAAAGCAGGAAGGAACACACACUCCAACCCAGCCGACACAUCACCUUCAGAAGAGGACUUUCUCUCAUUUUUCUCUCUAAAUGAGUCGCCGUAUGAGUAACCAGCAGAAGGAAAAACAAACGCAGCUCUAACGUGAAUAAUAAUCUAAAGGCAUGGGAGAUUCAGUGGGCAAGCAUACAACUUUGUUGCUAAGAUGGAAAACGAUCGUCCCAAAACAACAACAGCAAAACAGAUUUUUGAAAAGAAAACCAAACAAACAGCUUCACUGAUGUUAAAGCAAAAAAGAAAAUCAAGACUCAUACCUGCUGAACCUGCACGUUUGAAUGCAGAGAAACGAGAUGCAACCGGUGGAAAAGCUUCUGCCCUUUCACCAACAAUGACCCGAAGCAAGCCUUCCUCUUUUUCUGCCGUUAGGAGCUUUUCAAAAACCUCUUAGAGUCUUUGCAAACCCCGGUUCGACAAAGUAGGAUAGACUCAAGCCCCAUAUAUAUAGCCGAGCAACACAUAGAGGCUAACCUGCACUCCCUCUCAUCCCAGCCGUCUGUGUUAGGGAUGGAAUUCCCACCCUUAGAUGAUGGCCAGGCUCCUUCUGCGUGACUGCGUCCUCUUCCCCAGCUGGCACUGGAGGUACAAUGCCGCAGCUGCAAUCCUAGCGUACAAAGGAGGACUGUCUUCUGCAGUGCAAGGACAGGAGAAAAAAAAGAAAAUGGCAGGAAACGGCUGCAGAGGAGGGAAAAGGUUGCAGAUGGGGGUACAGUACCAAACUCAUUAAUUCAAAAUGGGGCUGCUCUCAUACAGCAUCGUUUAGCUAAAGAAGUGAAUUUAAAAAAAAGACAGAGACGGUGUCGUUUAGAAAGGCAGCAGAAACGUAACCCCUCGUGGCAGAAAUUCUGUCAUUUUCUAAUCCUAUCCCUGUUUUUUUCUAUUUCUUCCCAAAACCCAGCCAAGCUCUUCCAGUCUUUAUCUGCAAUUAACUCCCUUAUUUCAGUUUUUUUCAAUUCAGUCCUGCAGACUUGGGGGGCAAAAUCCUUCCUGCGCAGAAUUUUUGCGGCAGAAUUUCCGCGGCAGAAUUUUCACUUCCUCAUUAGAUAUUCAAACGUGAAUAUCUUGAGUUUUUGAUAUCGAAAUCAAGCGAUUCAAAAACCCAAAUUCAUCUACACAUGUAGGACUACAACUUUCAUGAAGGACUAUCGAUAAAAAAAUUUUACAGAACAGAUUCGGGCCGCAAUCUGGUUGGUAAAAAAUGGUCUCCUGAUCUGAUUCAAAAACUGACGAAUGCCGAGCAUCCCGAUAUGACUGAGAGUAUAACCUAAGAAUAACAACCAGAAAAAUCAUGACAAAAACAGAGUUUUUAGUGCAACUCUGGUCAGAAUCCUGCUCGCGGCAGAAUUCUCGUCAGAUAUUCAAACAGGAAUAUUUUGAGCUCCUAAUAUUGAAAUCGAGCGAUUCAAAAACCCAAAUUCAUCUAUGCAUCCAGGACUACAAAUUUAAUGAAGGAUUAGAAGUGAGAUAAAUUUGUUUUAAGGAACAGAAACUGGCAGCAAUCUGGUUGGUAAAAAAAGGUCUCCAUUAGCACGUAUGGCUAAAAAAUGGGUAACAACAGAUGUAUAGAAAUUUUUAUUAACUUGGUUCAUAGUGAUGGUGGACUAGGUUUAGCUUUCCCUUCAUUCGUCUACAUGGAAGAGAACGACUUGAAUCACGAUCCGAAGCAAGCACAACAACAAUUAAUAAAUUAAUGGUGAUAAAUAAAUAUACAGUUCCAUUGUCCU